rnacentral:rRNA from 1 species
UGCGAUAAGCGCCGGUAAGGUGAUAUGAACCGUUAUAACCGGCGAUACCCGAAUGGGGAAACCCAGUGUGAUUCGUCACACUAUCAUUAACUGAAUCCAUAGGUUAAUGAGGCGAACCGGGGGAACUGAAACAUCUAAGUACCCCGAGGAAAAGAAAUCAACCGAGAUUCCCCCAGUAGCGGCGAGCGAACGGGGAGGAGCCCAGAGCCUGAAUCAGCAUGUGUGUUAGUGGAAGCGUCUGGAAAGGCGCGCGAUACAGGGUGACAGCCCCGUACACAAAAGCGCAUGUGCUGUGAGCUCGAUGAGUAGGGCGGGACACGUGGUAUCCUGUCUGAAUAUGGGGGGACCAUCCUCCAAGGCUAAAUACUCCUGACUGACCGAUAGUGAACCAGUACCGUGAGGGAAAGGCGAAAAGAACCCCGGCGAGGGGAGUGAAAAAGAACCUGAAACCGUGUACGUACAAGCAGUG